rnacentral:rRNA from 1 species
AGUGAACGCUGGCGGUAGGCCUAACACAUGCAAGUCGAACGGCAGCACAGUAAGAGCUUGCUCUUACGGGUGGCGAGUGGCGGACGGGUGAGGAAUACAUCGGAAUCUACUUUUUCGUGGGGGAUAACGUAGGGAAACUUACGCUAAUACCGCAUACGACCUACGGGUGAAAGCAGGGGAUCUUCGGACCUUGCGCGAUUGAAUGAGCCGAUGUCGGAUUAGCUAGUUGGCGGGGUAAAGGCCCACCAAGGCGACGAUCCGUAGCUGGUCUGAGAGGAUGAUCAGCCACACUGGAACUGAGACACGGUCCAGACUCCUACGGGAGGCAGCAGUGGGGAAUAUUGGACAAUGGGCGCAAGCCUGAUCCAGCCAGACCGCGUGGGUGAAGAAGGCGUUCGGGUUGUAAAGCCCUUUUGUUGGGAAAGAAAAGCAGCAGGUUAAUACCCCGCUGUUCUGACGGUACCCAAAGAAUAAGCACCGGCUAACUUCGUG